AUGGACAUCGGCUCGGUGCCUUCCCAGGACGACGACGCGGCGGCCGCCACGCCGCGGGAGGCCACGCUGGGCCGCCACCUCGCGCGGCGGCUGGCCGAUGUGGGCGCGCGCGACGUCUUCGCCGUGCCGGGGGACUUCAACCUCACGCUCCUCGACGAGCUCGAGGCCGAGCAGCCGUCCGGCGGCGGGGUGCGGCUCGUCGGGUGCUGCAACGAGCUCAACGCAGCCUACGCCGCCGACGGCUACGCCCGCGCGCGCGCCGGCGGGGUCGGCGCCUGCGUGGUCACCUUCACCGUCGGAGCGCUCAGCGCCAUCAACGCCGUCGCCGGCGCCUUCAGCGAGAACCUCCCCGUCGUGUGCAUCUCCGGGGGCCCCAACAGCAACGACUACGGCAGCAACCGGAUCCUGCACCACACCAUCGGCCUCCCCGAUUUCUCGCAGGAGCUCCGCUGCUUCCAGAACGUCACCUGCUACCAGAAGGGGGAGCGUUUUGGCUCCCGGGAGCAUUUGCUCGCUCCCGGGAACAUUUGCUUGCUCCCGGGAGCCAAAUUGGAUUUCCGGGGGAAGCCCGGAAGGCGUUUUGGCUGUGGGAGCAUUUGCUCCCGGAUGAACAACAAAUCAAAAAAAAAAGUGGCAGUGGUGAACAACUUGGAGGAUGCACAUGAACAGAUUGACACUGCCAUCUCCACUGCACUGAAGGAGAGCAAACCUGUUUACAUCAGCAUUAGCUGCGACCUCCCUUCAAUCCCUCAUCCCACCUUUAGCGGCCAUCAUAUGAGCCUGGAAGCAGCGGUGGAAGCCGCUGCGGCUUUCUUGAACAAAUCGGUCAAGCCGGUCCUUGUUGGGGGAGCGAAGAUGAGGAUGGCCAAAGCACGCAAAGCCUUCGUAGAGCUAGCCGAUGCAUGCGGUUACCCGUUCGCGGUGAUGCCUUCUGCCAAGGGGCUUGUACCAGAGCACCACCCUAGAUUCAUCGGCACAUACUGGGGUGUUGUGAGCACUCCAUUCUGUGGAGAGAUUGUGGAGUCAGCUGAUGCCUAUUUGUUUGCUGGCCCGAUAUUCAACGACCACACCUCGGUUGGAUACUCACUUCUUCUCAAUAAUGAGAAGGCCAUCAUUGUGCAGCCGGACCGAGUGGUGAUUGGGAAUGGGCCUGCAUUUGGGUGUGUUCUGAUGAAGGACUUCUUGCGUGCACUUGCUACCCGGCUCAAGAAGAACACGGCUGCGUGCGAGAUACAUAGCCGGAUUUUUGUGCCUGACGGCGAACCCCGUCCCUCUGAGCCUGGAGAGCCUUUGAGAGUGAAUGUGUUUUUCAAGCAUAUUCAGAAAAUGUUGUCUGGCAACUCGGCUGUUAUAGCAGAGACCGGGGACUCAUGGUUUAACUGCCAGAAGCUAAAACUACCAGAAGGCUGUGGGUAUGAAUGUCAGCUGCAAUAUGGAUCAAUUGGUUGGUCGGUCGGGGCUACUAUGGGAUAUGCGCAGGCUGCUAAGGAUAAGCGAGUCAUUUCUCUCAUUGGGGAUGGCAGCUUUCAGGUGGGGAACAACAUCAUCUUCCUCAUAAACAACGGGGGUUACACCAUCGAGGUGAAGAUCCAUGAUGGUCCUUACAACGUCAUCAAGAAUUGGAACUACACCGGCUUGGUGGAAGCAUUUCAUAAUGGCGAGGGAAACUCUUAUACUGCAAAGGUUCGAACGGAAGAGGAACUGGAGGAGGCAAUUGAGGCAUCCCUAGGACCUCACAAGGACAGCCUGUGCUUUAUAGAGGUAAUUGUGCACAAGGAUGACACUAGCAAGGAGCUUCUUGUGUGGGGAGCUAGGCUUUUCGCCGCAAAUAGCCGCCCGCCGAAUCCUCAGUGA
rnacentral:rRNA from 1 species